CCUGAAGCCUUUGGAGCGCAGCGCAAGUUCCCGCUGCGCUCCGCAGGCUUCAGGUUCCUUUUGCUGAAGCCGGGAGAGCCCGGCUUCAGCAAAAGGAACCCGAAGCCUGCGGAGCGCAGUGGGAACUUGCGCUGCGCUCCAAAGGCUUCAGG